GAUGAACGCUGACAGAAUGCUUAACACAUGCAAGUCGAUGGGGAAGUGGUGCUUGCACCAUGGUAACCAUGGCGGACGGGUGAGUAACGCGUAAGGAACUUGCCUGCGGGACCGGGAUAACAGCAGGAAACUGCUGACAAGACCGGAUAAGGUCAUGAAGCUGCAUAGCUUAGUGAUGAAAGGAGACGCCUGCGGAGAGCCUUGCGUCCUAUUAGCUAGUUGGAGGGGUAACGGCCCACCAAGGCGAAGAUAGGUAGCCGGCCUGAGAGGGUGGACGGCCACAAGGGGACUGAGAUACGGCCCUUACUCCUACGGGAGGCAGCAGUGGGGAAUAUUGGACAAUGGGGGCAACCCUGAUCCAGCAAUUCUGUGUGCACGAAGACGGUUUUCGGAUUGUAAAGUGCUUUCAGCAGGGAAGAAGGAAGGUGACGGUACCUGCAGAAGAA
rnacentral:rRNA from 1 species